AAAUCUUAAAAAAAAAAACAGCGUUGAAAGCAAAGAUAAUACGAUUGUAUAAUGUGGUUUUCAUAGAAGCUAUCACUCUUAGCUUAUAUCCUAUCGUAUACUAAUUGUCUUGCUUGACACAGAAUUGAAUCACUAAUAGAUUAUUUAAUUCAAAAUCCUCGCUAAACCUUCACACGUUUCUUGCGGUUGCGUAUAAUCUUUUUCGCGCCAUUUUUCUCCUCCUUCGCAUUUCGUCUUCACUCUUGGGGAUGCGGAAAUUCUUAAAUCCAUUCCCCGGGUCAAAAUCUUGAAGGACCUAGCACAACUGAUAGAUGCAGCAACAUUACCCUUGGCUGUUACAAUUUCUGGAAAAGUUGUUUCUGAAACCCCAAUUAAGUGCGAGUUGACGGGUUUAAGAGGUAGAGCAACAUUAUCUUAAAGAGAAUGAUGCUAUCAUUGCUAUUAAGGAAAAAGAGAUAAGCAAUGGUUAUGGUGAUUCCUUGGACACAAUAUUCUUCGUUAGUAUUAUCCACUUGUAAAUAGGUUCCUUGGUAUCUGGAUGAUGGGACUGGUCGUGUGCUUGUGGUUGAAGCUCGGGAUGCCACUGAUUUUAAAUUACCUGCUGGAAGCUGGACAUUUGAAAAGUCAGGUCGGACUCUAGUAGCAUUGGAUACUCCUCUUCAAGGCAUACAGAAGGGAGAGUUUAAUCCAAUCUCUUCUGCUCCCCUUUCCCUGCAAAAAAUAAACGAGAAAAGUAUAGCAAUGAGUAGUGGCGAAGCUAGGAUAAAUUUUAGGAGAGGGUUAAAUAUAAAAAAUAAAAUAUACUUUUAAAAUUAAUGUAUUAAACAUAAUUAUUAAACAAAAAAAUUACAAUAAUUUUAUAUAUAAAAUAUCAAUUAAAGUCUCAUAAAGGGAUUAAAAACUUACGAUAGCUAUUUAGGAAAGUUGUGUUUGACAAUGUUUCAAAUGAUUAAAUUUAUCUAUAAGCGACGGUGUAUGUGAAAUAGACUAGCAAUGUUUUUAUAAAUGUAAACAAUUAAUUUAUUUGCAAGAAACUCAUCAUUCAUUUUAUUUAUGAAUAUUAUUUUGACGAUUUUAAUUGUUUAGAAAAAAAUUUCGAUAGAUGCGGUAUAGAGUAAAAGUGUCAAAACAAGACGGAUAAAUUUUGCAAUCGAAUGAUGAUUUUUUUAAUGUUUUGUUUCUACUAAUUUUUUACACAUAAACUUAUUUGGAGUAGUUAAAUAUAUAUUAUUAAAGUAAUUAAAUAUAAAAAUAUAUCAACUCAUUAAAAAAAUGGGGUUGCGAACGAUACCCGGUGCAAACAAGUACCUUCGCCUCUGGCACUGAGCUGCUUAUUUUGUCAUGAAAUCAUAUAUUCAGAUGCUUGGAGUUAAGAGAAUUGAAUGGUUACUUCCGGUUGGAACUUCCUUGACUGUUGCUGGUGAGGCCACUAAAGAUGAUAUCGGGAUUAUUCGAAUUCAGCAACUUCCUGAAGGGCCAUUUUAUGUCGCUCGCAAAACCAUCAAUGAACACAUUUCAAAAUCCACGAAUUGUGCAAGGUGGUGUAAGUAUGCUUCUGUGGGCCUGACAGUGUUUGGUGCGUUGCAGUGAAUUGUGAAAAAGAUACAAUCCACUGGGUUAUUUUUUUCUCAUUAUCAGUGACAAAUAGAAUCUUAUUGAAUGCUUUUCAAUUAGUGACAAAUAGUUGUAAUAUGCUUAUACUCGCGAUCUUUGGUUGAAGGAAGUUUACAAAAUGAGUU